CGUCACGAGCAAGGGCCGCCAUUUUGACUGAGCAACCAUAGUGACAGGAGCCGAAGCAGCAGCGCUGGUUGUCCCCGUCUCCCCUCCCCCUUCCCUUCUCCGGUUGAAUUCCCGGGCCCCCCUACACUCCACAGUCCCGGCCCUGCCAUGUCCCAGAAACAAGAAGAAGAGAACCCUGCGGAGGAGACCGGAGAGGAAAAGCAGGAUACACAGGAAAAAGAAGGUAUUCUUCCUGAGAGAGCUGAGGAGGCAAAGCUAAAGGCCAAAUAUCCAAGCUUAGGACAAAAGCCUGGAGGCUCUGACUUCUUGAUGAAGAGACUCCAGAAAGGGCAAAAAUACUUUGACUCAGGAGACUACAACAUGGCCAAAGCCAAGAUGAAGAAUAAGCAGCUGCCAAGUGCAGGACCAGACAAGAACCUGGUGACUGGUGAUCACAUCCCAACCCCGCAGGAUCUACCCCAGAGAAAGUCCUCACUCGUCACCAGCAAGCUUGCGGGGUAACCUGGGCCCUCUCCUCCCCUCCUCACCCACUGGACUUUCAUAGAUUGUAGGCAGGGAUGGAACGGGCACCUAGGCAGAUCUGCAAGGGGCUACUGAGAAGGUAACGUAGGUUGAAGAGGGGCUCUGAGUUCGUUCUUUUAGUUAACUGAGAUAUCUACACUCUCACUGCAGCCCAGAUAGGGGCCCAGAAAUAGGAGAGAUUAGAGUUGGAUAAUACUGGCAACGCUUUGUCUUGUGUGAGUAACUGGGGUGAUAGGAUUUCUUUUGGUAGAGAAAGUCCCAAAAUUGGCUAGGCUGAGCCUUGGAAUAAUGUGACAGAUUUAAUAUCCCAAAGCUCACCUGACCUGACCUAGUUGGGAAAGGCAGGUUGAAUGAGUCUUGUUUCCUGUGCUUCUAAGUGUUUUGUCCCUUAGGCUGCUAUUGCUUCAUGUUUCCAUUAUGACAGGUUUAGAACCUUUGAAAAGGAAACCUAAUUUGCUUGCCUAAAACUACAGUGUCUACUUUACCUCAGCCUUUCUUACAGUUUGCCCUAAGUCACAAAUGACAUAAAGAUUGAUGAACAUUAUCUGUGGAAAGUGGGCACCUUCUCUCUCUUCCAGCAUGUUGCUUUCGAAAGUAUCAUGGGCUAGUGAAAAGAGCAAUGGUUUAGAAGUCAGUUUAUCCGGGUUCUGUUUCCAUUUAGUCUUAGCAGUAACUGAUACAUAACCUUGGCCGGGUUAUUUAGCCUGUCUGCAUUUCUGUUUCCUCAUCCAUGACUGUACAAAAGUGAUUUCUGAUUCCAAAAUUCUGUACCUGCCAGCUGAAAAGCUCUGUAGUGUCUGUCAUAAAACUGAAAGUGCAGAAGGCCCUGUAGGUGAGCCUCCGCACUGUAAUCCUGGGCAGGCUCCACAGAGGGAAAACAUUUUAGGACUGCAGGAAGAGAGAGGAAGUUUGAGAUCUGAGGGCUAUAAGUGUAGGCAACAGACCUGAUAGUACAUCAUGGUCUUGAGGCUUAUUUAAAAGAACAACAACAACAAAGAAAAACCUACCUUGAAGCGGCCAGGCUCGCUUACGCCCUUCUGGAGAUCCAUGUCUCAGAGGUCAUUUGGGUGUCUGGUGUGUUAUUAGGGAGAAAGGAAGAGAGGAGAUAAACUGAGCUAGCCCCAGGACUUAGUGCUACUGCAGAGCUGGAGCAGCAAGUUUUUAGGAGUGGAUUCACUUUAGAAGAAGCUGCAGAAAGUUUUCAGGGUUAGGAAAGGAAGACUGAGAAACCUGCCUUCUACUCUUGUGCAAUAAGAAGGCAGCCAUGUGGAUUCAUAAACGUGGGAGAAGAGAUUGUGGUAACCAGGAUCACCAGCGUGGCCUGAGUCUUACUGAAUGUAGCCUGCUACUUAUGACAAAGAGCACCAGGCUGAGAAUUAACUAUUCAAGAGAACAAGAUUCUCUACUCCUCUCUUGCCCUUCAUCUCACAAAUUCUGAUUUGCCAAACACUAGGCCCAUGAGAAUGACUUGCUGGGGUGCUGGUGGGGGGUGAGGUGUAGAUAUACUGCUGACUGUCUCUCAGAUUGGUUUAGGAGAAGGUUGGUGAGGAAGGAAUGGAGAGAGCAGGAUCCCUGGACUCCCUGGCUCCCCCAAACUCCUUGACUGUCACCUGUAAUUGUAUAUAAUUCAUGUGUUUCUUGCUCCAUUUUCUCAUGCUGUCACCCUUAAAGUCCAUGUGGGAGGGGGAAAAUGCUCAACAUCAUUGUAUAGUUUCCUCGACUGUCCCAGCCAUGUUGUACAUAGAUAUGUCAUGUUAUUAUAUAUAUAAAUAUAUAUAUAAUUUUGUACGUUUUCUUCAUCUCUGA